rnacentral:rRNA from 1 species
ACCAGACUCCUACGGGAGGCAGCAGUGGGGAAUAUUGCACAAUGGGGGAAACCCUGAUGCAGCGACGCCGCGUGAGUGAAGAAGUAAUUCGUUAUGUAAAGCUCUAUCAGCAGGGAAGAAAAUGACGGUACCUGAGUAAGAAGCCCCGGCUAACUACGUGCCAGCAGCCGCGGUAAUACGUAGGGGGCAAGCGUUAUCCGGAUUCACUGGGUGUAAAGGGAGCGUAGACGGCCAAGCAAGCCAGGGGUGAAAGCCCGGGGCCCAACCCCGGGACUGCCCUUGGAACUGCAUGGCUGGAGUGCGGGAGGGGCAGGCGGAAUUCCUGGUGUAGCGGUGAAAUGCGUAGAUAUUAGGAGGAACACCAGUGGCGAAGGCGGCCUGCUGGACGACGACUGACGUUGAGGCUCGAAAGCGUGGGGAGCAAACAGGAUUAGAUACCCGAGUA